rnacentral:rRNA from 1 species
CCUACGGGACGCAGCAGUGAGGAAUAUUGGUCAAUGGGCGGGAUCCUGAACCAGCCAAGCCGCGUGAGGGAAGAAGGUACAAUGGAUUGUAAACCUCUUUUGUCGGGGAACAAAAGCCGGGACGAGUCCCCGGAUGCGUGUACCUGAAGAAAAAGCAUCGGCUAACUCCGUGCCAGCAGCCGCGGUAAUACGGAGGAUGCGAGCGUUAUCCGGAUUUAUUGGGUUUAAAGGGUGCGUAGGCGGCCUGUUAAGUCAGCGGUAAAAUUCCGGGGCUCAACCCCGUCGAGCCGUUGAAACUGGCGGCC